AGGACGAACGCUGGCGGCGUGCUUAACACAUGCAAGUCGAGCGGAAAGGCCCUUCGGGGUACUCGAGCGGCGAACGGGUGAGUAACACGUGAGUAAUCUGCCCCUAGCUCUGGGAUAGCUCCGGGAAACCGGGAUUAAUACCAGAUACGACCACUUUAGACAUCUGUUGUGGUGGAAAGAAUUUCGGCUAGGGAUGAGCUCGCGGCCUAUCAGCUUGUUGGUGAGGUAACGGCUCACCAAGGCGACGACGGGUAGCCGGCCUGAGAGGGCGACCGGCCACACUGGGACUGAGACACGGCCCAGACUCCUACGGGAGGCAGCAGUGGGGAAUAUUGCGCAAUGGGCGAAAGCCUGACGCAGCGACGCCGCGUGGGGGAUGAAGGCCUUCGGGUUGUAAACCCCUUUCAGCAGGGACGAAGCGAAAGUGACGGUACCUGCAGAGAAGCGCCGGCUAACUACGUGCCAGCAGCCGC
rnacentral:rRNA from 1 species